rnacentral:lncRNA from 1 species
UUACAGAUCAUAUUGCUAUGCCUCUGUGGACUGAGUGGCCAUGACCUCAAAGUGGCUCAUGGAGAGCUGGCAGGCAUGCGACUGCUAAUGGAAGAUGUUCUUCUGAGUAACUACCAUAUGAUCAUGGAGGGUCUCCCAGGACAGCAAGCCACACCAGACAAAAAUACACAGCCAGAUUUGUCCAGAGUGCCAGGACUCCAAAGCAGCCCAAAGGCCUCCAAGCUGCUGGGGGGCCCGUGUGAUGCCGUGACGUCCCUUGCUCUGCUGAGAUCAUUUCUGGUGCUGUGGAAGCAACUGGAAGUGCUAAAGGAGCACUGGGGCCGACUCAAGCUCCAAGUCCAGGACAUCAACUCUCCCUGUCUCCACAAACAGUUCUCGGAGCUCUAUGGAACUGAUAUUCUCUACCCUAGCAUGAAAGCUAUAGCUAGGCGGAUGGGGAAAGAAGAUGAAUUUGAAGAAAUUUUAAUAACUAGUCAGUGUAUUCUUCCCCCCAAAGGAGCUUCAGAAAUCGAAAUAAAAACUCAACAGCUUCAGAAACUUCUGGAAAAUCUUGAAAUUCAUAUGAUCCAGGAGGUAUUAAAGAAAGUUAACAAAGAGAUAACACUGGUUGUAUCAGAAAAGUCCAAGGAGCAGCAUACUCUCCCUACAGACCUUUGGAAACACCAAGUCAUGGAAGAAAACUUUUCAAUUAUCAGGCCGCAAAUAGUUGAAAAUUUUGUACAGAGAUUAUUGGAGAACUACCAGGAUGGUGGAUUAGAGGUCACGUUCAGGAAAGACCACCUUGAGGCCUGCCUCCUUUCCCUGGGUUGUGAUGUGAUGGCCAGAGAACGCAGCAACUUCGAGAGCUACUCCAUGUGUUACGAGCAUAUAUUAGAGCACGUUAGACAGAAGCUCUGCCAGAAGGAGCAAGAAUUAGACAUUAUACGAAGAGGUCAAAGUCCACCUGAAGACAAGGCUGGUCAGGUUGCAGAACUCAGUCAUAAUAUGAUCAUGGAAAUCACUGCCCUGAGAGCCCGACUCACGGAUUUGGAGGAGGAGAAUCUAAAUCUCAAAAAGCAAAUUAGAAAAGAGGUCCAAGAAGAAUAUGAAGCAUUAGUCCAAGCUUUGUUUGUGACAUGUUUGCACAUCAAAGAGAAGUUGGAUGAGAAUCAGCUUAAUUUGAUCCAGAAAGUGUGUGAGCUCAUCGGCGAAGUAAGAACAGAAGGGAUUGACAACAUGAAAAGCCUAAAGAAGAAGUGGGGCUCUGCCAGGCCUGACGAAGAAAUGAAAGAAAAUCCAGCCAAAGAGCAGCUGCAGGCCUUGGAGCAGGACAACUGCGCCCUGGCCGCCCUGGUGCGCAAGCUGAGGAGCCUGGGCCAUUGGAGGCUGGUGGUGCGGCAGGCACACUUCCGGGGCCAGCUGAGCAGGGCUGAGAAGGAAGCUGUGCAAACUAAAAAAGAGUGUUUGAACAUCAAGCUAAUGGCUGAACAAGAAGUGGUUUUAUUUCGUCAACAGCUAUUGGCUCUAAGGCAGGCCCUGGCUAGGGCUCAGGCGGACAAUGUGAAGAUGUGCAGGCAGCAGGAGAAUCAGGCACAGUUGCUGAAAGAGUUAGAACACAGAAUGACCCAGGAAGCUCUCCGCAGGCAGCAGCUGGAUUUAAUGAAAGCGACCAGCAUGGAGAAGCUCUUAAAGGAUGUGGAGCAAAAGGAACAGCACCUGCAGCUCCUUACUGAAGAUGCCAAGAGGGCUUCUAAACUAGGCCAGCUGCAGCAGAAGAAAAUUCAGAGAGAACUCCGACAGGUGAGAAGCCGGCUUGCCCAUGAGCGUAGUAUGAAGCUGGAUGCUUUCCAGUGGGUAGAAGAGCUACAAAGUCAGCUUAAUGAUGCUGAGCAAUCCUCCACCCAAAGGAACUCACCUGGAGGCCUUAUGUCCCAAGCUCACUACUCCCUAAGUUCUGCUUCCACAUCAUCCAGAUACACCCAGCAACACCUUUUAAAGACUCAACUCAUGGGCAGCAAAAUAACAAGGAUUCAAAGGCCAAAGACUGUACCUAUUAAACACAAAAAAAGAACUGAUGAUGUCUUCCUACCCAAUGUGGCAGAUACUGUUCAACUUUCAGCUUUUCAAGUUUAA